CCAUAGAAACAAACAGAGACAAUCCAAAAUAUCCUCAACUUCAGAGCCUGAACUGCCAACAAUCAACCCAAAAUGGACAGCAAGAUUAUCUGUUUGAUGCUUCUGCUGGGACUGUAUGGAGGAACAGCUGUACAAGCUGGUAAUUGUACCAUGACUACCACUGCUCCAACUACAACCUCACCUGUCCCUACUACUAC